GACGAACGCUGGCGGCGUGCCUAAUACAUGCAAGUCGAGCGAAGCGGCGGAUGGGUGAGUAACGCGUGGGUAACCUGCCCUUAAGUCUGGGAUACCAUUUGGAAACAGAUACUAAUACAGGAUAAUAAAGGAUGGACCUGCGAUGCAUUAGCUAGUUGGUAGGGUAACGGCUUACCAAGGCGAUGAUGCCUAGCCGGUUUGAGAGGCUGAUCGGCCAAACUGGGACUGAGACACGGCCCAGACUCCUACGGGAGGCAGCAGUAGGGAAUCUUCCACAAUGGGCGAAAGUCUGAUGGAGCCACGCCGCGUGAGGGAAGAAGGUUUUCGGGUCGUAAAGUUCUGUUGUUGGUGAAGCGGUAAUCAACCAGAAAGUAACGGCUAACUACGUGCCAGCAGCCGCGGUAAUAC
rnacentral:rRNA from 1 species